AUUGAACGCUGGCGGCAGGCCUAACACAUGCAAGUCGAGCAGAGCGGCGGACGGGUGCGUAAUGCCUAGGAAUCUGCCUGGUAGUGGGGGAUAACGUCCGGAAACGGGCGCUAAUACCGCAUAAUAUCAGAUGAGCGUAGGUCGGAUUCGCUGUGUGGUGGGUUAAAGGCCUACAAAGGCGACGAUCCGUAACUGGUCUGAGAGGAUGAACAGUCACACUGGAACUGCGCCACGGUCCGGCCUCCUACGGUAGGCAGCAGUGGGGAAUAUUGGCCAAUGGGGGAAAGCCUGAUCCAGACAUGCCGCUUGUGUGAAGAAGGUCUUCGGAUUGUAAAGCACUUUAAGUUGGGAGGCGUUACCAACAGAAUAAGCACCGGCUAACUUCGUGCCAGCAGCCGCGGUAAUUC
rnacentral:rRNA from 1 species